AGUAACAGGAAAAUGAGAAAAGAGGCGUGCAGAGAGAGGAUGCAAAAAUUUGCAGAGAAGCGGUAAAGCGCUGUCAUGUGUAAUGCAGAUAAACCUGAAAUAUUACAAGAAAAGAGGAAAAGAACGACAUUAUACAAGACGUGCAAAACAGGCAGAGGUGGAAUGUGCAGAGAAAUGGGCAAAACAAAGAGAGCGAAAAAGCUGAUACUGUUCUAUCGGCCCGUUUCAAGACAUGUAGCCGGCGAGUGGUGAUACAUCAGUGAGAGGCGAGGCCAGGCUGAGGAAGCUGCCCCGGGGGCCAAAGAUUACAGCAUUCCUUGCAAGGACACUGCGACUAACAAGAGGGUGAUGACGACCGAUGGCGGCAGUGACUUUGGCAAGACAUGGGGAUGAUAGAGAGUGAGAGAGAAAAUAAAGCUGUGGGAGAAAAACACAGACAGAUGCAAACCAGAAGGAAGGAGAUAUAGUAAAAUUUACCGCAUUG